rnacentral:lncRNA from 1 species
CUGCAGCCAUGGCCUUCAAAAGUCUCCCUGGCUUCUGUUUGUCGCAUUUGGGUUCUUAUGCCAAAACUGUCACUGUGACUAGAAUUGGUAGAUUGGCUAAGGAAGCAAAUAGCCAGGGACUGUCAACUCACCUAGGAAGGCUCUUUCAUUUCUGGAAUUUUGGUUCUUCUAGUCUUUGUUGCUUCUAUAACCUUCCAAUGUCUUUCAACAUAUGACUGUAACUUAACUGUUUUCAUGAUGUGGCCUUUACUAAAUCUUACCCAAAGUAGCCAGGCACAGUGGCUCAUGCCUGUAAUCCCAGCACUUUGGUGUAAUCUUGGCUCACUGCAACCUCUGCCUCCUGGGUUCAAGCGAUUCUUCUGCCUCAGCCUCUUGAGUAGCUAGGAUUACAGGCGCACACCACCACGUCCAGCUAAUUUUUGUAUUUUUAGUAGAGACGGGGUUUCACCAUGUUGGUCAGGCUGGUCUUAAACUCCUGACCUCAUGUUCCGCCAGCCUCAGCCUCCCAAAGUGCUGGGAUUACAGGCAUAAGCCACUACGACCGGCCCCAAAGAAACUUUCUUAAACUUUGGCUCCCACCGCUCCAUAUUAUUGUCUCUUUUACCUCAAAUAAUAAUAAACCACCUCAUUAUCUGUUCAUGGAAGCAUUUUUUUAAAAAAUUACCAAAGAUCAAAAGAAGCAUGUGUGAAAGCAAAAUGUACACACUGCUCUGCUGUUAUCAGAGCAUUAUCAACAUGUACAUUGUAGUCAGAAAAUAUCUUGCACCCUGAGAGAAAUAAGCAAACAAAAACAGGGUCACUGUCAUUCAUUUUCCCAAAAUAAAAUAAUCCUUAAGUUUUGUUUAUAAUUUACUAAUUCCUUUAAUAAAAGCAAUUUUAUUGCCAACUUUUGCAAUGAUAAUAGAUGAAAAUCUGUGAUGAUCUUUGUGGCUAUGACAAUCAUGUGAGAAAAUCGCUGUCUUUUCUACCAUGAUUGGACAACUACAAACUUGGUAAUACUGGUAAUUUUGUGGGUUUUCCUUUUUUUUUUUUUGUAUUUUUUUAUUUGAUGAGCCAGUUCUUUUAAAACUUGGGAGUUGCUUGCAAACUUUCCUUGAAAGUAAACUUUCCCCCCUAAAUCCUUUGUCUAUAUUUCUUUGACAAUUGUGUAGAUUCCUCUAAGAUUUUGUGUAUGCAUCAACCAGGGUAAAGUCCACCACAUUGUCCAUGAAGAGCAACUCAAGGGCUGUUCGAGGUAUACAUUUUCCAGUCUUGAGGCAAUAAAGUCUUCAUCUAGUUGAUUCAAGUUCUUUUUCUGGCUCUUCAUAUGUUUUUUGCUUCCUGGCCAAGUCUGCGUUUGACACUGGUUCUGAUUUGUAAACAGCCACUUAUUUCUCCUUUGGUGGCAGCAAUGUUGAAAAUACACAUUUUAAUGGUCGAUCCGUUCUUUGUGAGGCAACAAUGACAGGACAUCUGAUUGUACUUUGUUUUUGUCUUGAGGAUUCUGUUAUCUUCUGUCAUCUAAGAUACAUCUUUUCUUUGCAUCUGGGUCUUAAGACAUGAGUUUGGUCAAAUUGAUAGGUUGCAUUAGUAGGUUGGAAAGUUGCUCAUAUUACUCCCUACAUCACUGAUUUACUUUCUUUCUCAUCUUCUGACCAUUGACGAAACUUGUUUUUCAUUUUUUUGUGCCACUAUGAGUUCAAAUCAAUUAAGAAAAAUAUUUUUGUGGCCACUGGAAUGCAGAGAAGCCCUUGGAGAUCUGGAGCUGCUACCAUUAACCAAUGACUCACGCUUUUUGUACUUUUAUUACAUUUGAUCCAUCUGUGGCUAAUGUUAUAAACUAAGGCUGGUAGUUCUGUGUAUUGCUAUUAUUUUUUGAGAUAGGGUCUUGCUCUGUCUCCCAGGUUGGAGUGCAGUGGCAUGAUCAUGGUUCACACGGCCUCCAUCUCUGGGGCUCAAGCAAUCCUCCCAUCUCAGCCUCCCAAGUAGCUGAAACUACAGGCAUGCAUCACUAUGCCUGGCUAAUUUUUAAAUUUUUUUUGUAGAGAUGAGGUCUCACUAUGUUGCCAAAGCUGGUCUCAAACUCCUGAGCUCAAGCCAUCCUCCCACCUCAGCCUCCCAAAGGACUUGGAUUACAGGCGUGAGCUACCACGCCCAGCCUGCGUAUUAAUUUUUAAAAACCAUCUUUUUUCUCCUCAAAAAGGAAGGCAUAGUUCUUUGUAAUAGUCCAUUUGUAAUUACACAGCUUUCUUUCUCCAAAGUCAAUGUCCUUUCUCCCUCAGAAAUAUGCUGGAGAUUGAACAGUCAGAAAAAAACAUCAUUUGAACACACUAUUUAGGGAUAUCUAACUCCAACAGACAAAUCUACCAUGAAAAAGAACAAAAUAUACACAGUGAACAAACUUGGAAAUUGUUUUUAUGUAACUUUAGAGCAAAGGGUAGAAACUUUACAGAAGGUUUUGCUUGGUUUGUGUAACCAUUCUACAAAUAAGCCUGGAUCUGUGAUGGGAUGGGAAUGAUUGCUGCCAGCUUGUCUGGAACAUUAUGACCUCUGCAAGAAAUCUGAAAAGUUCUCAGUGCAUAACAUACUCUCUCCCUUCUCAAAAGAAAAGAGUAAAGUAUCCAUCUUAGACACUGUAAUUUAUAUCCAUUAGGCCCUAUCUCCUAACACUGCUUCAUUGGAGAUGGUUUCCAACACAAGGUUUUUUUUUUUUUUUGAGACCAAGACUCACUCUAUGGCUCAGGCUGGAGUGCAAUGGCAUGAUCUCGGCUCACUGCACCCUCUGUCUCCUGGGUUCAAGCGAUUCUGCUGCCUCAGCCUCCCGAGUAGCUGGGAUUACAG